rnacentral:rRNA from 1 species
UACGGGGGGGGCACGCGUUGUUCGGAAUUACUGGGCGUAAAGGGCUCGUAGGUGGCCAACUAAGUCCGACGUGAAAUCCCUCGGCUUAACCGAGGAACUGCCGUCCAAACUGCUUAGCUUGAGACCGGGAGAGGUGAGUGGAAUUCCCAGUGUAGCGGUGAAAUGCGUAGAUAUUGGGAGGAACACCAGUGGCGAAGGCGGCUCACUGGACCGGUACUGACGCUGAGGCGCGAAAGCGUGGGGAGCAAACGGG